CGGGUGACGUCGUCGGCGGCACGCCAACCUGCACGUUCGUGCAAGCCGCCUGCUGGCGUCAGAGCAGUGACGAUGACGCACCCG
rnacentral:sRNA from 1 species